rnacentral:rRNA from 1 species
UACGUAGGGGGCUAGCGUUGUCCGGAAUCAUUGGGCGUAAAGCGCGUGUAGGCGGUCCGGUAAGUCCGCUGUGAAAGUCGGGGGCUCAACCCUCGGAUGCCGGUGGAUACUGUCGGGCUUGAGUACGGAAGAGGCGAGUGGAAUUCCUGGUGUAGCGGUGAAAUGCGCAGAUAUCAGGAAGAACACCAAUGGCGAAGGCAGCUCUCUGGGACGGUACUGACACUGAGACGCGAAAGCGUGGGGAGCGAACAGG